GUGCUCACUUCAGUAGUACAUAUACUAAUUGGAAUGAUACAGAGAUUAGCAUGGCCCUUGUGCAAGAAUGAUAUGCAAAUUUGUGAAGCAUUCCAUAUUUAA
ensembl:snRNA U6 U6 spliceosomal RNA